rnacentral:rRNA from 1 species
GACGAAUGCUGGCGGCAGGCUUAACACAUGCAAGUCGAACGCCCCGCAAGGGGAGUGGCAGACGGGUGAGUAACGCGUGGGAAUCUACCGUACCCUACGGAAUAACGCAUGGAAACGUGUGCUAAUACCGUAUACGCCCUUAGGGGGAAAGAUUUAUCGGGGUAUGAUGAGCCCGCGUUGGAUAGCUAGUUGGUGGGGUAAAGGCCUACCAAGGCGACGAUCCAUAGCUGGUCUGAGAGGAUGAUCAGCCACAUUGGGACUGAGACACGGCCCAAACUCCUACGGGAGGCAGCAGUGGGGAAUAUUGGACAAUGGGCGCAAGCCUGAUCCAGCCAUGCCGCGUGAGUGAUGGAGGUCUUAGGAUUGUAAAGCUCUUUCACCGAUGAAGAUAAUGACGGUAGUCGGAGAAGAAGCCCCGGCUAACUUCGUGCCAGCCGCCGCAGUAAGAC